ensembl:rRNA 5S_rRNA 5S ribosomal RNA
GCUUACGGCCAUACCACCCCCUGAACACGCCCGAUCUCGUCUGAUCUCGGAAGCUAAGCAGGGUCGGGCCUGGUCAGUACUUGGAUGGGAGACCGCCUGGGAAUACCAGGUGCUGUAAGCU